rnacentral:tRNA from 1 species
GGGCUUGUAACUCAGUGGUAGAGUGUCCGCCUGAUAAGCGUAAAGACGGUCGUUCAAUUCGACCCAGGCCCA